rnacentral:rRNA from 1 species
UACGGAGGGUGCAAGCGUUAUCCGGAUUCACUGGGUUUAAAGGGUGCGUAGGAGGGUAGGAAAGUCAGUGGUGAAAUCUCCGGGCUUAACUCGGAAACUGCCGUUGAUACUACUUAUCUUGAAUAUCGUGGAGGUGAGCGGAAUAUGUCAUGUAGCGGUGAAAUGCUUAGAUAUGACAUAGAACACCAAUUGCGAAGGCAGCUCACUACCCGAAUAUUGACUCUGAGGCACGAAAGCGUGGGGAUCAAACAGG